GAUGAACGCUAGCGGCGUGCUUAACACAUGCAAGUCGAACGAUGAUGCCAGCUUGCUGGUGGAUUAGUGGCGAACGGGUGAGUAACACGUGGGUGAUCUGCCCCGAACUUUGGGAUAAGCCUGGGAAACUGGGUCUAAUACCGGAUAGUACCUUCCCUUGCAUGGGGGUUGGUGGAAAGCUCCGGCGGUUUGGGAUGGGCCCGCGGCCUAUCAGCUUGUUGGUGGGGUAAUGGCCUACCAAGGCGACGACGGGUAGCCGGCCUGAGAGGGCGACCGGCCACACUGGGACUGAGACACGGCCCAGACUCCUACGGGAGGCAGCAGUGGGGAAUUUUGGACAAUGGGCGAAAGCCUGAUCCAGCAAUGCCGCGUGCAGGAAGAAGGCCUUCGGGUUGUAAACCUCUUUCACCAGGGACGAAGCGUGAGUGACGGUACCUGGAGAAGAAGCACCGGCCAACUACGUG
rnacentral:rRNA from 1 species